AUCACGGACAGUCUACAGAGACUUGAGAGACAUAGAAAACUAUUCAAUCAGUGAACUCAUUCAGUAAGCUCAUUCAUGGUGGAGUGAACUACAAAAAGAUAUAUCACCUAGAGAAUACUAUUGUACUUAAUAACAUUCAAUUCCUUGAGCUUCUUUUGAGUUCUGCCCACAUAAAAAAGGGCUCAAGAAAAUAAAGAUUUCCUUUCAAACAUACAAAAUCAUCAGGACUUACUUCAAUAAACCUCCACUACUGGAACUAAAAAAUUCUCUACAACACACAAUAAAUAUAACUGCUUCAUUCGAAGUUCUUUAAAACAUCAAACUAAGUUUAAAUAAAGUCAUAUUGUUGCCCCAAUUUUAGUUAAUCCCAAUUAUCUUUCUUUAUUUACAUACAAAUUGAGAUAUCAUCUUGAAAAACAAGGAAACAAAAAAUUUACAGUCCUGUUCUGGGAAAUGAGAACCCAAAUGAAACACAGAUUGCAGAUUUUGAGUAACGCGAGCCCAAAAAAUCAUACCUGCCAAGUGCCAAUAUAAAAUAAACUGCCAAGAAUUUACAACAGGAGGAUCGGGUGAUCAAUCUGAUGGGAAGGAAUUGGGGGAAAGAACUCAAGAAGGGUUUGCUCUUCUCUGAUCUUUCUGCUGCCGGUUUGACGGAAGGAAUUGGAGAAAAGACUGAAAGUGAUUCUGGUACAUAAUAAUCCAUAUGGAUGCGGCCACCACCUGGAUCCGCCACUGGCUACAGGCACGGUGGACGAAACUAACAGAGGUAAUGUAUGAUGCAACUGGUGUAAGACUACAAGCUGGACGUCAAGCAGAGGUACAUGGUUCUUACUGCUGUGGAUUUGUACUAGUGCAAAUAGAUUGAAGUGGAAAUUGACAGAUGUACCCAUAAUUGUGUUAAGCUAUAAAUAAAUGAGUUUUGUGCUGUCUGUUUUGAGAAACAUCUAUUGAACUGGAAUAAUUUUUUCGGGUUUUAAAUCAAAUUGUAUGUGAACUUCCAUCUGAGCAUCCUCUUGCUGAGAGCAGAACAAUUCGCAAUGAGGGUUGGGGUUAGCAGCACAUGACACUAAAGCUUGGUACAAGG